GGAGCUGCAAACUGCCCUCAGGGCAAAGAAGCCUGCAGAAUAAUUGGGAGGAGUCUGGCAGGAAGGAAGCCAAGUUUCCUGAGGCCCUCACCAGAAGCUCAUCAGAAGCAGAUGCUGGCACCACUCUUCUUAUGCUGUCUGCGUAACUAAUCAGUAUUUCAAGCAUCCAAAAUGUGUAGGAGAAUAUGGACCCAAGAACGGAGCAGAGAGACAAAUAGAGGAACGGAAAGUUUUGCCUACAACCAUGAUGUUCUCAAUGUUAGCUGACUGUGUUCUAAAAUCCACUCCAAUUCCCAUUUUGGGAGUUGCUAUGUGAUGAAGGUCUGCCCCUGUGGUGUUGGGACAACUUGCUCAUGGAGUUGCAGUUCUUGCCUAACAGGAACCCACCAUGGAACUUGGUAAAGAAUCCCAAAGUAAGCAAUUGAAGAGGGCAUGUGGAGACACAGCGAGGACAGCCAGACCCAAACUGUUCAACCUACCCCAGCUCAGAUAUCACAUACAUGAGUGAAGGAUUUGCUCUAGAAGAAACCACAUGGAGAAGAAUGGAGGGCCCAGACAGUGGCCUUUUGUUUUGUGUGGGGAAUACCCAUCCUCAGCUAUUUGAGCCACCCCAGCUGAAGCCACAGACUUUGUGGGACAGAGAAAAACAGUCCCUACUUGUGCCCUGACUAAAUUUCAGACUUCCAGAGUCACAAGCAUAAUACAAUAAUUGUUGUUUUACACCCCCAUAUUUUGGGGUGGUUUGUUACACACCAAUAGAUACCUGGGAUAGUAUGUUUUUGAAGCUCUUGGCACAUAAUAAAUUAGUUCCCAGCACAGAGUAUAGCAUUUUAAGAAUUCCCUUCUAAGUAAGCAGCCAAAGUGUUUCUUUGUAUAGAAUUUAGAGGUUGCCAUGUUUUGUACCAACUGUCUAGGCUUAGACCAGGGAUUGUGUCUGACCCUCAGAAGGUUGGCCUGCAUCCUAGGAGAUGGCCUGGUUAGGAGCUCUGGGAGAAAGUUAUGGGCCAGAGGCUGGGAAGCAAUGCAAACUCUAAGAAGGAGAAGCCAUGAGGAGGAAGAGGAGAUGACAAGAUCACCUUCCAGUUCUCCGUGAACUGGGGAGUCUGGGUGUGAUGGGCGUUGUAAUUUGAAUGAUGUUCUAGUAUUCUGUCUUUCUUCCCUGUGAACAUCAACAGUACCCAUUAACUGGAGCAUCCUGAAUAAAUGGUUCUUGCAUCUGCA
ensembl:lncRNA C5orf64 chromosome 5 putative open reading frame 64